rnacentral:rRNA from 1 species
UACAGAGGUCCCAAGCGUUGUUCGGAUUCAUUGGGCGUAAAGGGUGCGUAGGUGGCGCUGUAAGUCGGGUGUGAAAUUUCGGAGCUUAACUCCGAAACUGCAUUCGAUACUGCGGUGCUUGAGGACUGGAGAGGAGACUGGAAUUCAUGGUGUAGCAGUGAAAUGCGUAGAGAUCAUGAGGAAGACCAGUGGCGAAGGCGGUCUCUGGACAGUUCCUGACACUGAGGCACGAAGGCCAGGGGAGCAAACAGG